rnacentral:lncRNA from 1 species
UUAUAUUUUUUGGAUGUAUAUUUUGAGAUAAAAUUAAGUUUAAAGAAAAGGAUCGACCCUAUGAGUCGACCCCUGUCAAAAGGAGCUGAACGGUAUGCUAUUUUUGGCUGGCACAUCCAAAGAGAAUGAUCUUAGGGGUCGAUCUCUGUUAUCUGUGCAAGUCAAAGAUACAAAACAGUGACUUUCUAUUCUGCACCACAG